UACAGAGGUCUCAAGCGUUGCUCGGAUUCAUUGGGCGUAAAGGGUGCGUAGGCGGCGCGGUAAGUCGGGUGUGAAAUCUCGGAGCUUAACUCCGAAACUGCACUCGAUACUGCCGUGCUUGAGGACUGGAGAGGAGACUGGAAUUUACGGUGUAGCGGUGAAAUGCGUAGAUAUCGUAAGGAAGACCAGUGGCGAAGGCGGGUCUCUGGACAGUUCCUGACGCUGAGGCACGAAGGCCAGGGGAGCAAACGGG
rnacentral:rRNA from 1 species